UGUUCUGUGGUUUAGUUGGUUGAAGCACCGGUCAAGUGAGUACGGAGACGUGUGUUCGAAUCCCAUCAGAACAC
rnacentral:tRNA from 1 species